rnacentral:rRNA from 1 species
UACGUAGGGUGCAAGCGUUAAUCGGAAUUACUGGGCGUAAAGCGUGCGCAGGCGGUUGUGUAAGACAGAUGUGAAAUCCCCGGGCUCAACCUGGGAACUGCGUUUGUGACUGCACGGCUCGAGUGCGGCAGAGGGGGAUGGAAUUCCGCGUGUAGCAGUGAAAUGCGUAGAUAUGCGGAGGAACACCGAUGGCGAAGGCAAUCCCCUGGGCCUGCACUGACGCUCAUGCACGAAAGCGUGGGGAGCAAACAGG